GAUGAACGCUGGCGGCGUGCCUAAUACAUGCAAGUCGAACGCUGAAGGCGGAGCUUGCUCUUCCGGAUGAGUUGCGAACGGGUGAGUAACGCGUAGGUAACCUGCCUGGUAGCGGGGGAUAACUAUUGGAAACGAUAGCUUAUACCGCAUGACAACAGUUAUUUCUUGAUAACUGUUUGAAAUGGGCAACUGCUCCACUACCAGAUGGAACUGCGUUGUAUUAGCUGUAUGGGGAGGUAACGGCUCACCAAGGCGACGAAUCGUAGCCGACGGGAGAGGGGGGUCGGCCACACUGGGAGGGGGACACGGCCAAGACUACUGAGAGAGGCAGCAGUAGGGAACCUUCGGCAAAAGACGGAAGUCUGACCGAGCGACGGCGCGUGAGUGAAGGAGGUUGUCGGAUCGUAAAGCUCGGUUGUAAGUGAAGAACGAGUGUGGGAGUGGAAAGUGCACACUGUGACGGUAUCUUAACAGAAAGGGACGGCUAACUACGUG
rnacentral:rRNA from 1 species